CCUACGGGUGGCAGCAGUGAGGAAUAUUGGUCAAUGGGCGCGAGCCUGAACCAGCGAAGUAGCGUGAAGGAUUACUGCCCUACGGGUUGUAAACUUCUUUUAUAAAGGAAUACAGUGAGGCACGUGUGCCUUUUUGGAUGUACUUUAUUAAUAAUGAUCGGCUAACUCCGUUCCCGCAGCCGCGUUAAUUCUGAGGAUCCGAGCGUUAUUCGGAUUUUUUGGGUUUAAAGUGAGCAUAGAUGGGUUGGUAAGUCAGGUGUGAAAGGUUCGGGCUCAACCGGAAGAUUGCAAUUGAUCCUGGCAGACGAGAGUAAAGUUGAGGGAAGCGGAAUUCGCGGUGGAGCAGUGAAAUGCGUAGAUAUCGAGAAGAACA
rnacentral:rRNA from 1 species